UACGAAGGUGGCAAGCGUUGUUCGGGUUUACUGGGCGUACAGGGCGCGUAGGCGGUUGGGUAAGCCCUCCGUGAAAUCUCCGGGCCUAACCCGGAAAGUGCGGAGGGGACUGCUCGGCUAGAGGAUGGGAGAGGAGCGCGGAAUUCCCGGUGUAGCGGUGAAAUGCGUAGAGAUCGGGAGGAAGGCCGGUGGCGAAGGCGGCGCUCUGGAACAUUUCUGACGCUGAGGCUCGAAAGCGUGGGGAGCAAACAGG
rnacentral:rRNA from 1 species